rnacentral:lncRNA from 1 species
CCUGUUCUUCUCACCUGCUGGCUGCCCUCGGGAGUGCAAGCACUAGUCCCACCUGUCAAACUCUGCAUCUCUUCAUCCCUGCUAGCAGUGUGUGGAAGAGGAAGCAAGGAGUUAUAUAGGAGACAGAAAAUAGAGAACUCAAGACAGAAAAGAAGCCUGGGGGAAUUUGGAAGAGUAACCUUAACCUUGAUUUUCCUGGCUGCCUACCAUUUGGUCUUCCUCAGAUCUGCUGCACAACACACUUUUAUGCUUUGCAAAAAGCUACUUUAUAUAUUGGAGCCUCUAGUCACCAUGCAACAUCUAUUCUGUGGGACUGAGGAUUGCUCUCAGAUUCUAUUUCCACGUCUCAACCACAUUUUUUCUCUUUGUCAAGGUCAUCCUAAUUGCGUAUCCUCUGUGUACAGCUCCGGAUGUAGGUAAGUUCUUCUGGCACUAUAUAACAUGUCAGUUUAAGGAGCUACAUCUAAAACCAGAGACAGAUUAGCCACAGACGUACAGACAGGUGUUGUGGAGAGCUUGAGUCAUAAUUUACAACUAUCACUGAAAGGGCUUAUGUGCACACAUAUUUUCCAUUACCUCAAUGAAAACUAACUGUGAAAAUAAUGUAAGUCAAGAGACAUGGCAGCCCGUAGACAUGUGGAACUAUCAGAAACAAACAGAAGGAACAUAGAAUCAUAGAAUCAUAGAAUUAUCUAGGUUGGAAAAGACCUACAAGAUCACCUAGUCCAACCAUCCACCUACCACCAACAUAACCCCACUAAACCAGGUCUCUCAACGCUAUAUCUAA